CUUUUUUUUAUUACCCUCAUUUUGUUCCUCCAACAACGGAGAGGGGAAACAGGGCGACAGGCAAUCUGUGUGCAAUUUUUGUCUCUGCUGUUGCUACCUUUCCAUGUGACCCUGCGCAGGUCACAUCCCAAACUGAGGGUUAUCAUUAAGGAUUCUCCUUGCUGAAGGAUCUGUGAGGCCGUGUGGCUUCCUCUUGAGGAAGAAAUGGAAGACGUAGGUUAUAUACGACUUCAAGCAGGGAGAAGAAAGAAAGAGCUAUUUGAGCAAUGCUUCACUUCCAGAGCAGAGAGAGGACAGACCCCUCUCCGGCAGCCCGAUGACUGCUGCCAGUGGUCCCAAGGGAUAGAGAAGAGAUGAACCAAGAAGGAAAUAGAAAGGAAAGCCUUGAGGAAAACUGAGGGUUGAAUUUGCCCGCCUCGAGAUUCUGGAUUGGGCAAUUUGGAUCGCAAAUUGUAUAAUGUAGAAAGGACUGAUUGUUUAUUCUGUUCCAAUGAUAAUGUUGACAACAAGUUGGAUUAGAGUGCCCUGAAGAUAAAAAUUGGUAGGCAUUUGCCAGUUGGAAAAAAUAGCAGAAAGAGCAUGUCAGGCACAGGACAUAGCACAAGCCACGGUCUGGAGUAGAAAUGUCUGUGCUGUGUUCAGGUACAGGCCAAGAAAUGUUUUAGAGAGAUUAAUCUGGAUCUGGAUGGCUUGUGCAGCAUAGGAGGAAGCAAAGAGGUGUCGUCAUAAGUAAUCUUCCAAGUGCACGUGCCGGAAGUGACCAUUUCCAUGUAUCCUCCAACUCCCUGCCAUGUAAGUUUUCAUGGUAUGCGUGUGUGCACUCUGUUUCAUUGUCUGCCAAAUAGCAGGUGGCCCUGUCUCAAGGAAGUUCCUGCUCUGUGUUGGGAGAUAAGAAUUUGGCCUUCUGUGUGAGUGGGCUCUGAACAGUAAGUCUCCAGCUACCCUGAGACAGCCUUUGGCUUGCCACCGCCAACCCUAUUCCAGGUUCUUAGGCAACGAGUCAGAGCUGACACUGGCCCCCAGCCCCUCCUUGCUUUACUUGAUGUGCCAAAAGUUCACACAUCAAGUGACACAGCCUCAAUGGUUGUUUCCCUUUCUCUAACAUAUUGCUUUGGAAAUGAUUUUGUAAAUUAAAGAAAAAAGGUUGGAUGGUGUGUACUAUGAGAUGUUGCGUGACAAAUUCAUGUCAAGAAAAAUACCACCACAAUAGCAUCUCACACCACUUGGUAGUAACGUUUCUGCAUUUUAAACGAAAAUUCAGUAGGCAUAUUUUUAACUUCAUAUUAUGAAAUAAUUUCAAAUUUAUAGAAGAGAUGAAAGAAUAGCACAACAAAUUCUAUAUACUCUUCUCUCAUAGUCCCCCAAUGUUAACAUUUUUACCAUAUUCUCUUUCUACAGAUAUAUAAAGGGGGUUUUGUUUGUUUUUCUGAACUGUCUGUGAGUAUGCUGUAGAUAGACUAUCCCAUUAGCCCCCAAUACUUCAGGAUGUAUUUUCUGAAAACACGGGUUUUCUCUUAAGGUAACUGCAGUAUAAUUAGCAAAAUCAGCAAAUUAAUAUUGAUAUAAUAUUAAUGCUAAUCUGCAGGCAUUAUUCAGAUUUCACCAUUUGUCUCACUAAAGGACUUUUUUUCUCCCCUCCCCUUGGUUGGUGGAGGCUGUUAAUAGUCCUUUCUCUGGUGGGACUGGCUUUAUUCUGAUGGUAUUCUCUCAAUUUUUGAUGUUAAAAUAUACUUUCUUUAAUGAGAAAAUAGUAUUUUUAUUAGCCUUUUACAGUACUUAUUAGGAAAAAUUAAAGAUGUCAUGCUCAUAUCAUUCCUCUAGUUUCAUUAAUUCAUUCAUUAUCUGAGUUUAAAAACCACUGAUGUAAUUUAAUCCUCCAUGGUUGGACAUUUAAAUUGUUUCCAGAUUUUCAAAAUUCAAACAUUGUUGCAGUAAACAAACUUAUAA